rnacentral:rRNA from 1 species
CCCUUAGAUGUUCUGGGCUGCACACGUGCUACACUGGCAGGUUCAGCGAGCUUCAUGCCCUGAUCUGAAAGGAAUGGGAAAUCUUUUCAAAACCUGCCGUGCUUGGGAUAGAUGUUUGCAAUUAAUCAUCUUCAACGAGGAUUGCCUUGUAAGCGCACGUCAUCAGCGUGCAUUGAAUACGACCCUGUAUUCUGUACACACCGCCCGUCGCUCCUACCGAUUGAAGUUUUCGGUGAGUUGACAGGAGGAUUUUUUUGAAACUGGUUCGCCAGUGGAUUUUAGAUCCAAAUGCCAACGAAUCGAUGGCUUUAGAGGAAGGAGAAGUCGUAACA